GACGAACCGAGCGAACGUUGUUCGGAAUCACUGGGCUUAAAGGGCGCGUAGGCGGGCUGUCAAGUCUGGGGUGAAAUCCCGCGGCUCAACCGUGGAACUGCCUUAGAUACUGACGGCCUCGAGGGAGGUAGGGGCGAGCGGAACUCUCAGUGGAGCGGUGAAAUGCGUUGAUAUCUGGAGGAACACCGGUGGCGAAGGCGGCAUCCUGGACCGGCAUUGACGCUGAUGAGCGAAAGCCAGGGGAGCAAACGGG
rnacentral:rRNA from 1 species